rnacentral:ncRNA from 1 species
ACCUCUGGUGGACCUGUUGUGGCGCCAGCCGCAUUGCAGGGUAGCUAAGUGCGGACUAGAUAACCGCUGAAGGCAUCUAAGCGGGAAACUAACCUCAAAACCAGUACUCCCUAUCAGAGCCGUGGUAGACCACCACGUCGAUAGGCCGGGUGUGGAAGCGUGGCAACACGUGAAGCUUACCGGUACUAAUAGCUCGACCGGCUUCAUCGC